rnacentral:rRNA from 1 species
UACGUAGGGGGCAAGCGUUGUUCGGAUUUACUGGGCGUAAAGCGCACGUAGGCGGCUUUACAAGUCAGAGGUGAAAGCCUGGAGCUCAACUCCAGAAUUGCCUUUGAGACUGUAUCGCUUGAACACGGGAGAGGUGAGUGGAAUUCCGAGUGUAGAGGUGAAAUUCGUAGAUAUUCGGAAGAACACCAGUGGCGAAGGCGGCUCACUGGACCGUUGUUGACGCUGAGGUGCGAAAGCGUGGGGAGCAAACAGG